GGUGGAGUGGCCGAGUUGGUUAAGGCGCUGUGUUUAGGAAGCCUCGAGUGCCCUGUGAGGGGUGAUUAGAGGAAACUUCUACAUCCGCAGUGGGAAACCGCGCGAGUUCGAAUCUCGUCUCCAUCA
rnacentral:tRNA from 1 species